UUUUUGGAAAAUGCCACAGUUGCAAACGCUAAUUCGGUCGUGAACCAACAAAAUUAUAAACCAAUGAAGUAUGAAUACAGGCUGACGAAGCACACAAAGAUUUGAAAAGGGUGCGAAGGCAAUAUUUUCUUAUCAAUGCUAUUAUAAAGACUGUAUAUUCGGAUUGAAACGAAUAAUACAACGCUGCUGGUGCCUCAAACUUUUUGGAAAACGCCACAGUUGCAAACGCUAAUUCGGUCGUGAACCAACAAAAUUAUAAACCAAUGAAGUAUGAACACAGUGGCUGACGAAGCAAACAAAGAUUUGAAAAGGAUGCGAAGGCAAUAUUUUCUUAUCAAUACUAUUAUAAAGAGUUCACGCUAGAGAAAAAGAUUCACGAUCGAGCCCUGAAUCUGACUACGAAUGCCGGCCUGAGAGUCUACAACUGGCAACAGUUAACGGCAAAGACGAUCGUCGAAAAGAGCGCAACUCACGUAGUAUCGUCGUCGUCGGCUGACGAUACCAAAGAGAUAUCAAAUUACAGAAUCCCCGUAUCGGCCCGAAGUCAUUAACGCGCGAUGAUCGCCGCGCGCUCUCGGAGUCUCGCGCGCGCGCGCGCGCUUAUUCGAAUUGGCGCGUUCGGCCGGUCCGAUUCCGGCGCGUUUCGCCGGUUCAGCUGC